AUAAAUAAUCGCGGGCCGUAGUUGGCCACUGGUCUAUACCGUUUUGUUUAUUCGCGUAUUUCUCGCCGUGUCCUUAAGUGGCGUCCGUCAAUGCGAUAUUGCGGGCAUCGCAGUAAUGUCGUCCACAUCGAUGUAUACGGUUUUACAACAUUAUCUAACUCGUCAGUCCAUCGCCGACAGUUCGAGAGUACAUUGCCCCAAGCGAAAUCAUAAUUUAUUAUCGUAUCGCUAACUCAAAUUC